AGCACUGUAGCGCAGUGGGAGCGCGACAGGCUCAUAACCUGUAGGUCCGAGGAUCGAAACCUCGCAGUGCUA
rfam:Anncaliia algerae PRA109 cont4.3802, whole genome shotgun sequence.